GAUGAACGCUGGCGGCGUGCCUAAUACAUGCAAGUCGAGCGAACGGACGAGAAGCUUGCUUCUCUGAUGUUAGCGGCAGACGGGUGAGUAACACGUGGAUACCCUACCUAUAAGUCUGGGAUAACUUCGGGACACCGGAGCUAAUACCGGAUAAUCUUUUGAACCGCAUGGUUCAAAAGUGAAAGACGGUCUUGCUGUCACUUAUAGAUGGAUCCGCGCUGCAUUGGCUAGUUGGUAAGGUAACGGCUUACGAAGGCUACGAUGCGUGACCGACCUGAGAGAGUGGUAGGCCACCCGAGAGCGGAGACACGGACAAUAGGACUGAGGGACGGAGCAGUAGGGAACGGGACGCAGUGGGCGAAAGCCUGACGGAGUAGGGCCGAGCGAGUGAUGGAGGUGUUGGGUGCGUGAAACUCUGUUAUGAGGGAAGAACAUAUGUGGAAGGAACUGUGCACAUCGUGACGGUACCUGAUCAGGAAGCCCCGGCUAACUACGUG
rnacentral:rRNA from 1 species